UGCGUAGGGGGCAAGCGUUGUCCGGAUUUAUUGGGCGUCAAGAGCGUGUAGGCGGCCAGGUAGGUCGGUUGUGAACACUGGAGGCUUAACCUCCAGACGUCGACCGAAACCAUCUGGCUAGAGUCCGGAAGAGGAGAGUGGAAUUCCUGGUGUAGCGGUGAAAUGCGCAGAGAUCAGGAAGAACACCCGUGGCUAAGGCGGCUCUCUAGUACGGUACUGACGCUGAGACGCGAAAGCGUGGGGAGCGAACAGG
rnacentral:rRNA from 1 species